rnacentral:rRNA from 1 species
CCUAACACAUGCAAGUCGAACGGUAACAGGCCUUCGGGCGCUGACGAGUGGCGGACGGGUGAGUAACGCGUGGGAAUCUGCCUAGUAGUCGGGGGACAACCUGGGGAAACUCAGGCUAAUACCGCAUACGCCCUACGGGGGAAAGCAGGGGAUCUUCGGACCUUGCGCUAUUAGAUGAGCCUGCGUCGGAUUAGCUUGUUGGUGGGGUAAAGGCCUACCAAGGCGACGAUCCGUAGCUGGUUUGAGAGGACGAUCAGCCACACUGGGACUGAGACACGGCCCAGACUCCUACGGGAGGCAGCAGUGGGGAAUAUUGGACAAUGGGGGCAAACCCUGAUCCAGCAAUGCCGCGUGUGUGAAGAAGGCCUGCGGGUUGUAAAGCACUUUCGGAUGGGAAGAAAAGCUCAAGGCUAAUAUCCUUGAGUCUUGACGUUACUAUCAGAAGAAGCACCGGCUAACUCUGUG